CUGGUCUCCUUUGUUGAGCAAUAUUGCUGCAGGCUGAGGCCUCCCAGGGAUUUGCAAGUAAGAGUGAUGAGGACAGCCUCUGGGCAAGGAAGGAUGAGAACUUGAAGGUGAAAAACGCUGAAACCCUCCCUGACCCUCAACUAUCAAUUGGAUUAACUGGCCUUGGCGUUCUGCUCUGUAAAAUGGGGCACAUCUGCCUCCUAUAAUCCGGCAGGUUCCUGCGGUAUCCCAUGAACACAGCACAAUAAUUGAAGCUCAGUUUCCUCAUCUGUCCAAUGGGGAUACUAAGAAUGACAGCCUCUCGUGGUGGUUAUAAGGCGUCAACAAGAUCACUGAAGUGAAGUGCCUCCAACAGUGCCUGUUGAGUAGUAGACGAUAGAAACUGAUGGGCAGUUGGUGGAGUGGCCAGCCUCUGCAAAGUGGCCUGAUCGGAUUCCUGAGCUUCUAGGUCAUCGGGCAGGACUGCGACUGGCCGGAGCCAAUGCUACUCCCUCCUGACCUUGAAAGGUGUGACAAGUGGACUUGCAUUCAUUGCUCUACAAGCCUCUAUUGAGUAUCUGUGAUGUCCUGGCAUCGAUCUUAUCCGUGUGAGAAUUUGGUGAGCCAGCAAAGGAGCUAACCAAUCAGAAGGCCAUCUUCCCCUCAGCUUCCUGCUUAUCCAGACACUGGAAGAAUUACUCAAGUCCUAACUUCCUUUUUAUUACACUUCUUAGGAGUACCAGGGGAACUUCCACUUCUGCCAUGGUCAGGAAGGAGAGGAAUCAAGAGACUACCACCAGAACUGCUGACUUCAAAAUAAGAAUCAGGAAGACACUUCAGACCCCUACACAACUAUCUAAUCACCCAUGAAGCUGGUGAUUAGGAACCUUCGAU
rnacentral:lncRNA from 1 species